rnacentral:tRNA from 1 species
GGGGACGUAGCUCAGCUGGGAGAGCGCCUGCUUUGCAAGCAGGAGGYCAGGGGUUCGAAUCCCCUCGUCUCCA